GACGAACGCUGGCGGCGUGCCUAAUACAUGCAAGUCGAACGCAGUGGGGAUGGGUGAGUAACACGUGGGUAACCUCCCAUCAGAGGGGAUAACACUUGGAAACAGGUGCUAAACCGAUGCGAAGGAUGGGACCCGGGGGCAUUAGGUAGUUGGGGAGGUAACGGCUCACCAAGGCCACGAUGCAUAGCCGACCUGAGAGGGUGAUCGGCCACACUGGGACUGAGACACGGCCCAGACUCCUACGGGAGGCAACAGUAGGGAAUCUUCGGCAAUGGACGAAAGUCUGACCGAGCAACGCCGCGUGAGUGAAGAAGGUUUUCGGAUCGUAAAACUCUGUUGUUAGAGAAGCGGUAUCUAACCAGAAAGCCACGGCUAACUACGUGCCAGCAGCCGCGGUAAUUC
rnacentral:rRNA from 1 species